AACUCAAAGGAAUUGACGGGGGCCCGCACAAGCGGCGGAGCAUGCGGAUUAAUUCGAUGCAACGCGAAGAACCUUACCAAGGCUUGACAUGUUCCAGACCGCCUCAGAGAUGGGGUUUCCCUUCGGGGCUGGUUCACAGGUGGUGCAUGGUUGUCGUCAGCUCGUGACGAGAGAUGUUGGGUUAAGUCCCGCAACGAGCGCAACCCUCGUUCCAUGUUGCCAGCACGUAAAGGUGGGGACUCAUGGGAGACUGCCGGGGUCAACUCGGAGGAAGGUGGGGAUGACGUCAAAUCAUCAUGCCCCUUAUGUCUUGGGCUUCACGCAUGCUACAAUGGCCGGUACAAUGGGUUGCGAUACUGUGAGGUGGAGCUAAUCCCUAAAAGCCGGUCUCAGUUCGGAUUGGGGUCUGCAACUCGACCCCAUGAAGUCGGAGUCGCUAGUAAUCGCAGAUCAGCAACGCUGCUGUGUGU
rnacentral:rRNA from 1 species